rnacentral:rRNA from 1 species
AGCAGUGGGGAAUAUUGGACAAUGGGGGCAACCCUGAUCCAGCAAUGCCGCGUGAGUGAAGAAGGUCUUCGGAUUGUAAAGCUCUUUCGGCGGGGACGAUGAUGACGGUACCCGCAGAAGAAGCCCCGGCUAACUUCGUGCCAGCAGCCGCGGUAAUACGAAGGGGGCUAGCGUUGCUCGGAAUGACUGGGCGUAAAGGGCGCGUAGGCGGCGAGACUAGUCAGGCGUGAAAUUCCUGGGCUCAACCUGGGGGCUGCGUUUGAUACAGUUUUGCUAGAGUGGGGAAGAGGGUUGUGGAAUUCCCAGUGUAGAGGUGAAAUUCGUAGAUAUUGGGAAGAACACCGGUGGCGAAAGCGGCAACCUGGUCCUUGACUGACGCUGAGG